UACGAAGGGGACUAGCGUUGUUCGGAAUCACUGGGCGUAAAGCGCACGUAGGCGGAUGUGUCAGUCAGGGGUGAAAUCCCGGGGCUCAACCUCGGAACUGCCUUUGAUACAGCACGUCUCGAGUCCGGAAGAGGUGGGUGGAAUUCCUAGUGUAGAGGUGAAAUGCGUAGAUAUCUGGAGGAAUACCGGUGGCGAAGGCGGCAUCCUGGACCGGCAUUGACGCUGAACAGCGAAAGCUAGGGGAGCAAACGGGA
rnacentral:rRNA from 1 species